rnacentral:misc_RNA from 1 species
UAUGAAGAACGUAGCGAAAUGCGAUACUUGGUGUGAAUUGCAGAAUCCCGUGAACCAUCGAGUCUUUGAACGCAAGUUGCGCCCGAAGCCAUUAGGCCGAGGGCACGCCUGCCUGGGCGUCACACGUCGUUGCCCCCCCAUCUACUCCUUCGGGAUUGCGAGGGGCGGAUGAUGGCCUCCCGUGCGCCUCGUCGCGCGGUUGGCAUAAAUGCCAAGUCCUCGGCGACGCACGCCACGACAAUCGGUGGUUGCGAAACCUCGGUUGCCCGUCGUGUGCGGUCGUCGCGCAUCGAGGGCUCGAAAAAAUUGCCGGGCUCCGGCUCGGCUUUCAACGCGACCCCAGGUCAGGCGGGGUUACCCGCUGAAUUUAAGCAUAUCAAUAAGCGGAGA